rnacentral:rRNA from 1 species
GGCUAACGCUGGCGGCGUGUCUUAGCCAUGCAAGUCGAGCGGACUUAUGGGGUAACUUAUAAGUCAGCGGCGGACGGCGGAGUAACACGUAGCUAACCUACCCUCUGGACGGGGAUAACCUACCGAAAGGUGGGCUAAUACCCGAUGUAGUCAUCCUGUAUAGGGGUGAUGAAAGGUGGGCUUCUGUUUACAAGCUCAUGCUGGAGGAGGGGGCUGCGGCCUAUCAGGUAGUUGGUAGGGUAAUAGCCUACCAAGCCGAUGACGGGUAGCCGGCCUGAGAGGGUGACCGGCCCGAGGGGCACUGAGAUACGGGUCCCACUCCUACGGGAGGCAGCAGGCUAGAAAUUUGGGCAAUGGGGGAAACCCUGACCCAGUGACGCCGCGUGCAGGAAGGAGCCCGUUCGGGGUGUAAACUGCUGUCGUGUAGGGAGAAGGGUACUAAGGUGAACAAUCUUAGUACUUGACGGUACUACAGGAGGAAGCCCAGGCCUAACCUCGUGCCAGCAGCCGACGGUAAAUAGCGUACU